rnacentral:rRNA from 1 species
AACGAACGCUGGCGGCAUGCCUAACACAUGCAAGUCGAACGAGACCUUCGGGUCUAGUGGCGCACGGGUGCGUAACGCGUGGGAAUCUGCCCUUGGGUUCGGAAUAACAGCGAGAAAUUGCUGCUAAUACCGGGUAAGCCCUUCGGGGGAAAGAUUUAUCGCCAGAGGAUCGGCCCGCGUUAGAUUAGCUUGUUGGUGAGGUAAUGGCUCACCAAGGCUACGAUCUAUAGCUGGUCUGAGAGGAUGAUCAGCCGCACUGGGACUGAGACACGGCCCAGACUCUUACGGGAGGCAGCAGUGGGGAAUCUUGGACAAUGGGCGAAAGCCUGAUCCAGCCAUGCCGCGUGAAUGAUGAAGGCCCUAGGGUUGUAAAAUUCUUUCGACGGGGAAGAUAAUGACGGUACCGUACGAAGAAGCU